AUUGAACGCUGGCGGCAUGCUUUACACAUGCAAGUCGAGCGGCAGCGCGGGGGCAACCCUGGCGGCGAGCGGCGAACGGGUGAGUAAUGCAUCGGAACGUACCCUGGAGUGGGGGAUAACGCCGCGAAAGCGGCGCUAAUACCGCAUAUGCUCUGAGGAGGAAAGUGGGGGACCGCAAGGCCUCACGCUCUGGGAGCGGCCGAUGUCCGAUUAGCUAGUUGGUGGGGUAAAGGCUUACCAAGGCGACGAUCGGUAGCUGGUCUGUGAGGAUGAUCAGCCACACUGGGACUGAGACACGGCCCAGACUCCUACGGGAGGCAGCAGUGGGGAAUUUUGGACAAUGGGGGCAACCCUGAUCCAGCCAUGCCGCGUGAGUGAAGAAGGCCUUCGGGUUGUAAAGCUCUUUUGGUCGGGAAGAAGGAGCCUUGCCUAAUACGCGAGGUGAUUGACGGUACCGACAGAAUAAGCACCGGCUAACUACGUGCCAGCAGCCGCGGUAAGAC
rnacentral:rRNA from 1 species